GAAGGUGUAGCUCAGUGGCAGAGCACGUGCUUAGCAUGCACGAGGUCCUGGGUUCAAUCCCCAGCUCCUCCA
rnacentral:tRNA from 1 species